AAAAUGCGAUACGUAAUGUGAAUUGCAGAAUUUUGUGAAUCAUUGAAUCUUUGAACGCACAUUGCGCCUUUUGGUAAUCCAGGAGGCAUGCCUGUUUGAGUGUCGGUACAUCUAUUAAACUAAUGCUUUUUGUGUUUGGUUUAGUUUUGGAAAUUGAGCUUGAUUGUUUUUCAUUCUCAUUUCUUUAAUUAAGUAAUUAUUGUAUCUGUAGUUACUUUUAGUUGUAAUAAGCAUUUUUCAACUUUAAGAGUAUAUACAUGAUGCUAAGUCUUAAUUGCUUCCUUGCUUGUCUUGGAACCUUUUAUAAAUGACCUCAAAUCAGGUAAGAAUACCCGCUGAACUUAA
rnacentral:misc_RNA from 1 species